CUGCGAAUGGCUCAUUAAAUCAGUUAUCGUUUAUUUGAUAGUACCUUACUACAUGGAUACCUGUGGUAAUUCUAGAGCUAAUACAUGCUAAAAACCCCGACUUCGGGAGGGGUGUAUUUAUUAGAUAAAAAACCAAUGCCCCUCGGGGCUCCUUGGUGAAUCAUAAUAACUUAACGAAUCGCAUGGCCUUGCGCCGGCGAUGGUUCAUUCAAAUUUCUGCCCUAUCAACUUUCGAUGGUAGGAUAGUGGCCUACCAUGGUGGCAACGGGUAACGGGGAAUUAGGGUUCGAUUCCGGAGAGGGAGCCUGAGAAACGGCUACCACAUCCAAGGAAGGCAGCAGGCGCGCAAAUUACCCAAUCCCGACACGGGGAGGUAGUGACAAUAAAUACUGAUACGGGGCUCUUUUGGGUCUCGUAAUUGGAAUGAGUACAAUCUAAAUCCCUUAACGAGGAACAAUUGGAGGGCAAGUCUGGUGCCAGCAGCCGCGGUAAUUCCAGCUCCAAUAGCGUAUAUUAAAGUUGUUGCAGUUAAAAAGCUCGUAGUUGAACCUUGGGUCUGGCUGGCCGGUCCGCCUCACCGCGAGUACUGGUCCGGCUGGACCUUUCCUUCUGGGGAAUCCCAUGGCCUUCACUGGCUGUGGGUGGAACCAGGACUUUUACUGUG
rnacentral:rRNA from 1 species